rnacentral:rRNA from 1 species
UACGAAGGGGGCUGAGCGUUGUUCGGAAUUACUGGGCGUAAAGCGCACGUAGGCGGAUAUUUAAGUCAGGGGUGAAAUCCCGGGGCUCAACCUCGGAACUGCCUUUGAUACUGGGUAUCUUGAGUAUGGAAGAAGGUAAGUGGAAUUGCGAGUGUAGAGGUGAAAUUCGUAGAUAUUCGCAGGAACGACCAGUGGCGAAGGCGGCUUACUGGUCCAUUACGUGACGCUGAGGUACGAAAGCGUGGGG